rnacentral:rRNA from 1 species
UACGGGGGGGGCAAGCGUUGUUCGGAAUUACUGGGCGUAACGGGCUCGUAGGCGGCCAACUAAGUCAGACGUGAAAUCCCUCGGCUUAAACGGGGAACUGCAUCUGAUACUGGAUGGCUUGAGUUCGGGAGAGGGAUGCGGAAUUCCAGGUGUAGCGGUGAGAUGCGUAGAUAUCUGGAGGAACACCGGUGGCGAAGGCGGCAUCCUGGACCGGCAUUGACGCUGAAGCGCGAAAGCUAGGGGAGCAAACGGG